GGUCCGAUGCCACGUCGCUGGUAGCUAUACGAUAGCACUGACCUUCGAUGCUAUGAUUGGACCGAAAUCAAAUUUUUUCGCAUUUUGAUAGGAAUCUGCUGGUCUUAUAAACCAUGAUUUUGCAGAGCCGAUUUGUGCGAUUACAUUU